GAUGAACGCUAGCUACAGGCUUAACACAUGCAAGUCGAGGGGCAUCAGGAAGAAAGCUUGCUUUCUUUGCUGGCGACCGGCGCACGGGUGAGUAACACGUAUCCAACCUGCCCUUUACUCGGGGAUAGCCUUUCGAAAGAAAGAUUAAUACCCGAUAGCAUAAUGAUUCCGCAUGGUUUCAUUAUUAAAGGAUUCCGGUAAAGGAUGGGGAUGCGUUCCAUUAGGUUGUUGGUGAGGUAACGGCCCACCAAGCCUUCGAUGGAUAGGGGUUCUGAGAGGAAGGUCCCCCACAUUGGAACUGAGACACGGUCCAAACUCCUACGGGAGGCAGCAGUGAGGAAUAUUGGUCAAUGGGCGCUAGCCUGAACCAGCCAAGUAGCGUGAAGGAUGAAGGCUCUAUGGGUCGUAAACUUCUUUUAUAUAAGAAUAAAGUGCAGUAUGUAUACUGUUUUGUAUGUAUUAUAUGAAUAAGGAUCGGCUAACUCCGUGCCAGCAGCCGCGGUAAUACGGAGGAUCCGAGCGUUAUCCGGAUUUAUUGGGUUUAAAGGGAGCGUAGGUGGACUGGUAAGUCAGUUGUGAAAGUUUGCGGCUCAACCGUAAAAUUGCAGUUGAUACUGUCAGUCUUGAGUACAGUAGAGGUGGGCGGAAUUCGUGGUGUAGCGGUGAAAUGCUUAGAUAUCACGAAGAACUCCGAUUGCGAAGGCAGCUCACUGGACUGCAACUGACACUGAUGCUCGAAAGUGUGGGUAUCAAACAGGAUUAGAUACCCUGGUAGUCCACACAGUAAACGAUGAAUACUCGCUGUUUGCGAUAUACAGUAAGCGGCCAAGCGAAAGCAUUAAGUAUUCCACCUGGGGAGUACGCCGGCAACGGUGAAACUCAAAGGAAUUGACGGGGGCCCGCACAAGCGGAGGAACAUGUGGUUUAAUUGGAUGAUACGCGAGGAACCUUACCCGGGCUUAAAUUGCAGUGGAAUGAUGUGGAAACAUGUCAGUGAGCAAUCACCGCUGUGAAGGUGCUGCAUGGUUGUCGUCAGCUCGUGCCGUGAGGUGUCGGCUUAAGUGCCAUAACGAGCGCAACCCUUAUCUUCAGUUACUAACAGGUCAUGUUGAGGACUCUGGAGAGACUGCCGUUGUAAGAUGUGAGGAAGGUGGGGAUGACGUCAAAUCAGCACGGCCCUUACGUCCGGGGCUACACACGUGUUACAAUGGGGGGUACAGAAGGCAGCUAGCGGGUGACCGUAUGCUAAUCCCAAAAUCCUCUCUCAGUUCGGAUCGAAGUCUGCAACCCGACUUCGUGAAGCUGGAUUCGCUAGUAAUCGCGCAUCAGCCACGGCGCGGUGAAUACGUUCCCGGGCCU
rnacentral:rRNA from 1 species